GGAGAUAUAGCUCAGUUGGCAGAGUGUUUGCCUCGAAUGCACAAGGCCCUGGGUUCAAUCUCCAGCAUCACGC
rfam:Ictidomys tridecemlineatus contig002074, whole genome shotgun sequence.